AAAGCGGAGGAAAAGAAACUAACAAGGAUUCCCCUAGUAACGGCGAGUGAAGCGGGAAGAGCUCAAAUUUGUAAUCUGGCACUUUCAGUGUCCGAGUUGUAAUCUCGAGAAGUAUUUUCCGCGCCGGACCGCAUACAAGUCUGUUGGAAUACAGCGUCAUAGUGGUGAGAACCCCGUAACUGAUGCGGAUGCCCGGUGCUUUGUGAUAUACUUUCGAAGAGUCGAGUUGUUUGGGAAUGCAGCUCAAAUUGGGUGGUAAAUUCCAUCUAAAGCUAAAUAUUGGAGCAAGACCGAUAGCGAACAAGUACCGUGAGGGAAAGAUGAAAAGCACUUUGGAAAGAGAGUUAACAGUACGUGAAAUUGUUGGAAGGGAAACGCUUGAAGUCAGACUUGCUAUUCGGAGUUCAGCCGCAAGGUGUAUUCUUCGAUUUGCAGGCCAGCAUCAGUUUUUGGGGGUGGAAAAUCGUGGUUUGAAGGUAGCAGUUUCGGCUGUGUUAUAGCUUUCCACUGGAUUCAUCUUCGGGGACUGAGGAACGCAGUACGCUUUUUGCAAGGCUCUCGAGCUUUUCGUACUUAGGAUGCUGGUGGAAUGGCUUUAAACGACCCGUCUUGAC
rnacentral:rRNA from 1 species